AACGAACGCUGGCGGCAUGCCUAACACAUGCAAGUCGAACGAGACCUUCGGGUCUAGUGGCGCACGGGUGCGUAACGCGUGGGAACCUGCCCUUAGGUUCGGAAUAACUCCCCGAAAGGGGUGCAAAUACCGGAUAAUGUCUUCGGACCAAAGAUUUAUCGCCUUUGGAUGGGCCCGCGUUGGAUUAGCUAGUUGGUAGGGUAAAAGCCUACCAAGGCGACGAUCCAUAGCUGGUCUGAGAGGAUGAUCAGCCACACUGGGGCUGAGACACGGCCCAGACUCCUACGGGAGGCAGCAGUGGGGAAUAUUGGACAAUGGGCGAAAGCCUGAUCCAGCAAUGCCGCGUGAGUGAUGAAGGCCUUAGGGUUGUAAAGCUCUUUUACCCGGGAUGAUAAUGACAGUACCGGGAGAAUAAGCUCCGGCUAACUCCGUG
rnacentral:rRNA from 1 species